UACGGAGGGUGCGAGCGUUGUCCGGAAUCACUGGGCGUAAAGGGCGCGUAGGCGGCGCGGAUAGUCGGCGGUGAAAGCCCGGGGCGUCAACCCCGGGACGGCGGGUGGAUACUGUCAAGCUCGAGUCCGGAAGAGGAGUGUGGAAUUCCUGGUGUAGCGGUGAAAUGCGCAGAUAUCAGGAGGAACACCAAUGGCGAAGGCAGCACUCUGGGACGUGACUGACGCUGAGACGCGAAAGCGUGGGGAGCAAACAGG
rnacentral:rRNA from 1 species